rnacentral:misc_RNA from 1 species
UCUGAUGCUGUGCAGCACUUUGUGGGUGCUCAAACAUUUGUCUAGGCCAUGCAUUGUCUGAAUGCAUAAAUGUUAGAACCUUUUGACCAUUGUCAAUUGAUGUCUUCUGCUGAGAGUUGUAAUUCUCAAUGGACUCAUGAGAACCACCAUGGCAAAUAUCCUCUCUCUGUUCAACUGAUAACUGAAUUCCUGGCAGCUGGAAGCCAGGGAAGCUAGAGCUCAUG